UUCAAUACUGUUGUGUAAAUAAUGGUGUGCACUUUUCCCUUAGUAAGACGUUGUGAUCCAUUAGGAAUCGAGUAUCCAUCUAAUAUUGGAAUCUCAAUAGGCUACCAAUAGGCGGGCAUUGAAGUUCAUNCUGGCAAAUGACAAAAUCUUUUGGUUGUGUGUAUUGCCUUGUGAGCGUGCCAUGUUCUGAUGUAGCUGCCUGAUGGUUUUUAAAGGCUAUGCCAUUGAUAUCUUAAUNUAUCACCCAUUUAUUUGGGAUUUUACGGUAUGUGCCCGAUCAACAACGGUUUCAUUUGGGAUACCUUUGGGACCCGUCUUGAAACACGGACCAAGGAGUCUAUCUAGUAUGCAAGUAAAUGGGAUUUUAUGGAAACCUAUUUGCGUAAAUAACUUGACUGUAAUUUAAUGGGAUUACGUGUACGUUUAUUCUUUAUGAGUGCGUGCACCUCCAUCCCGGAGUAUUUUCAUCACAUAUAUGGGCAACUAUAUAUAGAAAAUAUAUCAUGAGCAUACUGGACAUGACCCGAAAGAUGGUGAACUAUGCCUGAUCAGGUUGAAGUCAGGGGAAACCCUGAUGGAGGACCGAAGCAAUUCUGACGUGCAAAUCG
rnacentral:rRNA from 1 species